UACGAAGGGGGGCUAGCGUUGUUCGGAAUUACUGGGCGUAAAGCGCACGUAGGCGGACAUUUAAGUCAGGGGGUGAAAUCCCAGAGCUCAACUCUGGAACUGCCUUUGAUACUGGGUGUCUUGAGUAUGGAAGAGGUGAGUGGAAUUCCGAGUGUAGAGGUGAAAUUCGUAGAUAUUCGGAGGAACACCAGUGGCGAAGGCGGCUCACUGGGUCCGAUACUGACGCUGAGGCGCGAAAGCGUGGGGAGCAAACAGG
rnacentral:rRNA from 1 species